UGAAAGCCCCCGGCUUAACCGGGGAGGGUCAUUGGAAACUGGGGAACUUUGAGUGCAGAAGAGGAGAGUGGAAUUCCACGUGUAGCGGUGAAAUGCGUAGAGAUGUGGAGGAACACCAGUGGCGAAGGCGACUCUCUGGUCUGUAACUGACGCUGAGGAGCGAAAGCGUGGGGAGCGAACAGGAUUAGAUACCCUGGUAGUCCACGCCGUAAACGAUGAGUGCUAAGUGUUAGGGGGUUUCCGCCCCUUAGUGCUGCAGCUAACGCAUUAAGCACUCCGCCUGGGGAGUACGGUCGCAAGACUGAAACUCAAAGGAAUUGACGGGGGCCCGCACAAGCGGUGGAGCAUGUGGUUUAAUUCGAAGCAACGCGAAGAACCUUACCAGGUCUUGACAUCCUCUGACGAUCCUAGAGAUAGGACGUCCCCUUCGGGGGCAGAGUGACAGGUGGUGCAUGGUUGUCGUCAGCUCGUGUCGUGAGAUGU
rnacentral:rRNA from 1 species